rnacentral:rRNA from 1 species
AACGUAGGAGACAAACGUUAUCCGGAUUUACUGGGCGUAAAGGGCGUGUAGGUGGUUUCGUAAGUCUGGCGUGAAAUUUCUCGGCUUAACCGAGGCAGGUCGUCGGAUACUGCGGAACUUGAGGACGGUAGAGGCGUGUGGAAUUCCGGGUGUAGUGGUGAAAUGCGCAGAUAUCAGGAGGAACACCAAUUGCGAAGGCAGCUCGCUGGGACGUUACUGACGCUGAGACGCGAAAGCGUGGGGAGCAAACAGG